ACCUGGAUCCUAGGUCAACACUCAACCGCUGAGCCACGCCCAGCUGGGCAAAAUGAUCUCACCUUAAAACAGUCACACUUACUGCCUCUAAGCUAUUUCAUUUGUCAAGUUUGAGUCACAUGAUGAAUGUAAAACACUAGAGAAUCCCCAAAAUGAAACAGGAUCCUCUUUGAGACCACCUGAACUGGAAUUUCCUUUGUAUAAAUAGCAUUGGAAUGGCCCUUUUGUAAGGCAAUCUCUCUGUGUUAUUCCUCAUAGGAUAAUACCUUUAUGUUUCCUUUUUAUUUUUCAACUACACCCUGGAAAAAUAACACGCGUGUGAAAAUUAAUUCUUUCUCUUAAAAAAGUGGCAUACAGAGUUUGAUUCUAACAUUUCUGCAUAAUUAAGCCCUUGAUGCUAUGUUCUUGUUUUGUUUUGCUGGUUUUGCUUUGUUUAUGGUAGAUCAUAUUAUUCAAAAUAUUUGCUGCCCUCCCUGGUGGAGGAUUGUACUCCCCCAUCCACGGAUACCAGGCUGGCCUCAUCGUUGGAGAUGAUCCUCGAUGAAAUAGAGUAAAACCUCUGGCUCAGUGAGGUCAGGAGUGACUUUGUGAUUGGCUUUGCCCAUGAAUCGAAUGGAGACGUGACAUGCAUCCCUUCUAAACAGAAGUUUUAAGAACCAGCUCAUGGUUCACCAUCUCUCCUAUCCCUUCACCCAAGACUACGAAUAUCCAUCCAGGUGCGGCUCCACCUUCUAGGCCCUCAGUUGUGCAGCCUGUGACAGACGUGCUGUGGGGAUGAGAAUUCUGGAGGCCAGAAGUUCAGAACCAAGGUGUUGGCAGGGCUGUUAUCCUUGGAGACUCUCGGCGAGAAUCCUCCCUCGCCUCUUCCAGCUUCUGGUGGCGGCCAGCAUUCCCUAGCCUUUGGCCGCAACACUCCAGCCUCUGCCUCCGUCAUCUCAUCUUCUCUGUGUGUCUCUCCCAUGUGUCUUUUAUAAAGACACCUGUCGUUGGAGUUAGAGCCCACUGGAAUAAACCAGGACGAGCUCUCCA